UUUGAACGGCUCUUUCGCUCUUUUUCAAAAUUUGGAUGAACAGGGGUUUUUAAAGAAUCGUGUAAAUUACUUAAUAAAAAAAAAUAAAACGAGAGGAUGCCCUUUAAAACCAUUGGUCAUGGUGGUCUCUAUGCCAAGAUUUUUGCUCGAACCUAAACAUUUGAGUAAUUGAAUGGCAUUCAAACUUAAAUCUAGGAUGCUGUUAAAAUUGCUAUUAAUUUUAAAAUUGCGUUGAUUUCUGCAAGAGUUGAACUAAUGCUGAUAUUUUAUUUGGAGAAAAUAUUCUGUAAAACUCUUAUCUGCAUUCUGAUUUAAUCGAUAAAGUUUAUAAACGCUAAAGUUUAAUCGGACAAAAGAAUUUAUUUUUUUGCAAAAUCUCUAAACUAUUCAGUAGAUUUUUUUAUAUUUUACAAAUUAUGCAAUUUGGAAUGCUUAAAUCCAAAUUUCGGUAAUAAUUUAAAGCACAAUCAGUUGUACAAUGAAUGGUUUUGUUUUUCAUUUUGUUUAGAAAAUCAUUUAAUUUUGGGAUUAACUUUUAUAAGCAUUGAAAUAUUUGAAAUUGCUUGUUCAACUCUCAAAAACAAUUGUAAUACUACAUUUUUUUGGUAAUUCAAUAAAUUAUAUUUAUAACAAAAAUCAUACCAUUUUGACACGGUUCUUUCAAAAGACCGGAGAUUAAAAAAGAACCGCGGUUCUUUUUUUGUGAGCCACGGUUCGUUCGCUCUUUUCAGUGAACCGGCUCUUUGAGCGGCUCGCUCUUUUUUUGCCCACCUCUAAUGAAUAUAAUGUUUCAAAUCCGAGCCCCUUUUAUAUACACAAAACACCAUCGAAUCGACCGAGUUUCUGUUGUUGCAGUCAACUUGAUACCAAUAAUAACCAUCUCAGGCAUUCGGCGCGCACCGACGCCACUUGGCGGUUGUGUACCAAUUUUGUGUGUUUAUUUUGGGAAACAUGUCGAGUUCUGGUUAUCAACAAAAACUAUCUAUCCCAAACAUGACAAAUAUACGUGUGCGUUUUGGCAAUAUAGAAUUCCUGUUGGCGGCAGUCGCUGCAAGAAAUGGAAGGAUAUGAGCAGGGAAAAAAGCUACAUGUUAUGGGAGUGAGUUAGCAGCACAGACAGCCAUCCUAUAUGGGAAUAAAUGUGCGCCUUAAAAGUUUGUUCUUUACGCUCUGAUAAAAUUAUAUUCCAACCAAACGAGCGCGAGCUUCAGAGAGAGAAAAAAAACAAUUAUGAUGGUUCCAAGGAUUUGCCGCGCGCGCACGCUCGAAAGAUGGUAUAAAUAACCCAGUAUCAUCAAUCUGAGAUCAUAUAAAGUUUGAAGAAAAAAAUAAAUUCUAGAGGCGGGGGCGAGCGAGAAAAAAGGAUACAAGAAAGCUUACCGCAAGAAUCAAUCGAGGUGUCCUCAAUUCUAAUCGAAAAUUACAGAAAGUUUCUUUGAAAGAUCUUGAUUGAAUUUGUAAUUUGGAUGUAUAUAGGAAUUUAUGAUAUUUUAUUGAAAAUAUGUUUUUAAGCGUGAUUUAUUUGGUUAACAUUUCUACUUGAUAACCGUUACUUGCAGUUGGUUUGAGCUAUUUUAUUUUUCAAUCUCUGUAAACAAAAUCAAAUUAGCGAUGGAAAAAGUUUCGAAGUUUUAAAUAUUGAAUUGGUGAUAAAUAAAGUUAUAGAAUUCAAUUUUGUUUUGGAUACAAUCUUUCAGAAUCAGCGAAAAUUAAAAAAGCUUACAAUUUGGUGAAGUUUUUCAUACCGUUCGAUCAUAUGAAUUCAGAAAGAAGCAUUUCCAAGGUCCCGGAGCAGCGUGUUUUGAUUGAAUGCCUUUGGAAUGCAAACAUGCGAUAUUCGCUGCCUGGGACCAUCGUAAUUCAUGGAAAUUCCAAUCACCUCGUACAUCUUCUAAUCACCAGUAUGCGCUGCACGUCUGAUAACAUUAAGGGCAGCCACAAACAGGUUCAUUCAGGUGAAACCGUCAGCCACAGUGGCCCCCUCUCGAAAGGGCUCACUGCAAUAUAGUAAUUAAAAAUGGUUAAUAAAUAUAUAAUUUAUUAUAUAUUAUUAUAAAUAAUUAUUAUCUUUGACCAAAUAAUUGAAAAUAGACCACCAACGUUGACUGGCUUGGGUCUCUCUUUUUUUUUGCCUUCGAGACUGAUGUGUUGUGUUGUUCCUCUACCUACGCCGCCACGUUAUAUCCAGCGAGCGAACAAACUUGUGUGUGUGUAUGUGUGUGUUGUGUGGAUGGCCCGGGUAAACAUCAACAGCCUCCGCGCGAUCGAUCGAACCGCCAGACCGCCACCGACGGACGACUAACUGACUCGAGGAGGCAGGUAUGUUACGGUGACCAUCAGGAGAAAAGUCUGGGAAAUCUGUUCAAGUUCGGGAAAGUAUUAGCUUUAAAACUUCUUUGAGAAAAGGAAAACGGACCGAGUUCAACUAGUAACCCUAAGGAAUAUAUGCAUAUCACAUACAAACCACACCACCGGCCACCGGGACUGGCCCGGGCCUGGAAGCCGCGCGCGGAACAACACGGCAG